rnacentral:rRNA from 1 species
GUGUGUGAAGAAGGCCCUCGGGUUGUAAAGCACUUUCAGCGAGGAAGAACGCCUAGCGGUUAAUACCCGCUAGGAAAGACAUCACUCGCAGAAGAAGCACCGGCUAACUCCGUGCCAGCAGCCGCGGUAAUACGGAGGGUGCAAGCGUUAAUCGGAAUUACUGGGCGUAAAGCGCGCGUAGGUGGCUUGAUAAGCCGGUUGUGAAAGCCCCGGGCUCAACCUGGGAACGGCAUCCGGAACUGUCAAGCUAGAGUGCAGGAGAGGAAGGUAGAAUUCCCGGUGUAGCGGUGAAAUGCGUAGAGAUCGGGAGGAAUACCAGUGGCGAAGGCGGCCUUCUGGACUGACACUGACACUGAGGUGCGAAAGCGUGGGUAGCAAACAGGAUUAGAUACCCUGGUAGUCCACGCCGUAAACGAUGUCGACCAGCCGUUGGGUGCCUAGCGCACUUUGUGGCGAAGUUAACGCGAUAAGUCGACCGCCUGGGGAGUACGGCCGCAAGGUUAAAACUCAAAUGAAUUGACGGGGGCCCGCACAAGCGGUGGAGCAUGUGGUUUAAUUCGAUGCAACGCGAAGAACCUUACCUACUCUUGACAUCCUGCGAAUUUGGUAGAGAUACCUUAGUGCCUUCGGGAACGCAGAGACAGGUGCUGCAUGGCUGUCGUCAGCUCGUGUUGUGAAAUGUUGGGUUAAGUCCCGUAACGAGCGCAACCCUUGUCCUUAUUUGCCAGCGCGUAAUGGCGGGAACUCUAAGGAGACUGCCGGUGACAAACCGGAGGAAGG